CAGAGAAUCCUCCCACUACUACAACAACCACCACCACAACUACACCAGCUACAACAGCCACCACCAAAACUAUAUCACCUACCACAGCCACUGAACUUACUACACCAAAUACAACAACCACCACAGAUAUACGCCCUAUUAACACUACAGCAGCCACCACUCAUAUGCCCCCUACAAACACUACAGCAGCCACUACUGAUAUACCCCCUAUAAACACUACAGCAGCCACCACAGAUAUACCCCCUACAAACACUACAGCAGCCACCAUUGCUAUACCCCCUUUAAACACUACAGCAGCCACCACUCAUACGCCCCAUACAAACACUACAGCAGCCACUACUGAUAUACCCCCUUUAAACAGUACAGCAGCCACCACAGAUAUACCCCCUACAAACACUACAGCAGCCACCACUGAUAUACCCCCUAUAAACACUACAGCAGCCACCACAGAUGUUCCCCGCACAAGCACUAAAUCAGCCACCAGUGAUAUACCCCUUAUAAACACUACAGCAGCCACCACUGAUAUACCCCCUAUAAACACUACAGCAGCCACCACUGAUAUACCCCCUAUAAACACUACAGCAGCCACCACUGAUAUACCCCCUAUAAACACUACAGCAGCCACCACUGAUAUACCCCCUAUAAACACUACAGCAGCCACUACUGAUAUACCCCCUAUAAUCACUACAGCAGCCACCACAGAUAUACCCCCUACAAACACUACAGCAGCCACCACUGAUAUACCCCCUACAAACACUACAGCAGCCACCACUGAUAUACCCCCUAUAAACACUAGAGCAGCCACUACUGACACUACUGAUAUACCUCCUAUAAAUACUACAGCAGCCACCACUGAUAUACCCCCUAUAAACACUACAGCAGCCACCACUGAUAUACCCCCUAUAAUCACUACAGCAGCCACCACAGAUAUACCCCCUACAAACACUACAGCAGCCACCACUGACAUACCCCCUAUAAACACUACAGCAGCCACCACAGAUAUACCCCCUACAAACACUACAGCAGCCACCACUGAUAUACCCCCUAUAAACACUACAGCAGCCACCACAGAGCACAAGCACCAGCCACCAGCACUACAGCAGCCACCACUGAUAUACCCCCUAUAAACACUACAGCAGCCACCACUGAUAUACCCCCUAUAAACACUACAGCAGCCACCACUGAUAUACCCCCUAUAAUCACUACAGCAGCCACCACAGAUAUACCCCCUACAAACACUACAGUAGCCACCACUGACAUACCCCCUAUAAACACUACAGCAGCCACCACAGAUAUACCCCCUACAAACACUACAGCAGCCACCACUGAUAUACCCCCUAUAAACACUACAGCAGCCACCACUGCCACUACUGAUAUACCUCCUAUAAACACUACAGCAUCCACGACUGAUAUACCCCCUAUAAACACUACAGCAUCCACCACAGAUAUAUCUCAUGGCAACAGCUCAGCAACCACAAAACAUAUAUCCCUUUCCAACAAUACAUCAACGACAACCCAUCAUCCUGCUACAACAAAUUCUCUAUGCUCUAAUACUUCUGUGACCCCUAUUGUAAUACCAACGUCAAAAGUGCAAUCAGUUGAUAACAUUACUGUCACUCAUGUCCAGAGCAAAACUAAACAAACUGUAAGACUCCUGGCACAAACUGUAAAUGGUAAAAAAGUACAUACCUUUGAAGUCAACACGACAAUUGCUGUCAGAAUUGAGAUGAAGACCAUUACGCCUUCUAAAAUCUUCAUCAAAACCAGUGAAUCGGUUACUCCUCAAUACCUACUAGUCUAUGUUGCAGGUGAGAACUCUGACUCAGGUACUGAGCAUCCAGACAGUGUAGUGAACACAAGUGAAACCACAAUCCCUAACACAGAACCUUUUCAGCCAGAUUCUUAUUGCAGCCAACCAGCUCAGGCAAAUACCAUCACAGAAUCAUCAUCAGUUGCUGGAAAUACCUGUUCUGAAGUUACCUCUGCUACUGCUGUCACCACCAUAACCACUACAGAGGAGGUGAUUGUUACUGGUCCAAAUGGAUUUUCCUCUAAAUGCACUAAAUAUUAACCGUUCUUUAUUCCACGCUGUUCUUCUCAUGUUUGCUAAGGAAAAGUAGCUAAUCUAUAGUAAGUUACUAGAUUUUAGGCAAUCGGCAGAAACAAUGAUGUUUUUACAGUGAUUACUCUAAAAUAAAAACUUUACACCAUAUUAUUUUUCUUAAUAAAUAUUGGCAAGUUCUUUUAUGCAAACAAUAUUAUUUGUAGACUGCUUUAUUUUCUAUAUACCCAUUAUCAUUACUGAUGACAUUAUAAAUGUUUUCAUAAAGAAACAUUUCUUAAUAUGUUUUCCAGUAAAGUGCUUGGCACAUAUCUUGCAUAUGGAAUCAAUGACGAAAAGCAUCUUAAGAAAAUAACAAACAUCAAUAUUCUUGAAUAUUGCAGUAAUAGAAUAUUUUAGGAUUUACAUAUAUUUUGACAUUUCCAUUUUUAAAGACUGAUACAGGAUUUCUUGAUUUAAAAUUGGAUGUGUUUAAUUCAAAAAGUAUUUGCUAAAGUAUGUAAAAUUAUGCAUGGUUAACAUAAUCCACUAGUCAAAGCAAAGAAGGAUUAAACAUAAGGUGACUCUAAGCAGCCACCUAGGCUGUAAAGGUUUGAAACCACAAAUUAGCUUGGCCCCAUUAACCAUCCUUAUGUAAAGAAUAUGGGGGGGUGGGGAGGGAGAAAACUUGUAAUCUGUCGAAUGCACCAGGGGGGUUUCUCUUUCUCUGUGUGAAAAAAAAAAAUGUGUCUAAAUUAUGUUUUUUACAAUAUGUUUUGUUAGCUUCCCUUGUGGUUUUUUUUUUUUUUUUUUUCGUUCUUGUGUUAUGUUCAUGGUUUGUGUUUGUUAGAAUGGGUUACAUUGAAAGCACCAGAUAACCUAAUUCAAUACUGUAAAGGCCAUGCUAUUCUGCUAAAUUAUUAGCAUUAUCAAUUUUGCAGCCUGUAGACAAUCACACAGAUCAUGUAAUUAUUUUAAUAAAAAGGGUGGAGGCAGACAGUUAAGGAUAUUCACAACAGAUGCCUUUUUGUUUUAAGUCAUUGUUUAAAGUUCUAUCCUGUCACUUCAAAAUGUUUUCAUGUUUAUUCAUUGUUAUUAAUCUUACUGGAUAUCAUUAAAGGUGAUUUCUUGCAUCAGAA
rnacentral:lncRNA from 1 species